rnacentral:piRNA from 1 species
UUUUUAGUAGGUGCUAUGGAUUGAGCUC